rnacentral:rRNA from 1 species
GAUGAACGCUGGCGGCGUGCCUAAUGCAUGCAAGUCGAGCGAACGGACGAGAAGCUUGCUUUUCUGAUGUUAGCGGCGGACGGGUGAGUAACACGUGGAUAACCUACCUAUAAGACUGGGAUAACUUCGGGAAACCGGAGCUAAUACCGGAUAAUAUUUUGAACCGCAUGGUUCAAAAGUGAAAGACGGUCUUGCUGUCACUUAUAGAUGGAUCCGCGCUGCAUUAGCUAGUUGGUAAGGUAACGGCUUACCAAGGCAACGAUGCAUAGCCGACCUGAGAGGGUGAUCGGCCACACUGGAACUGAGACACGGUCCAGACUCCUACGGGAGGCAGCAGUAGGGAAUCUUCCGCAAUGGGCGAAAGCCUGACGGAGCAACGCCGCGUGAGUGAUGAAGGUCUUCGGAUCGUAAAACUCUGUUAUUAGGGAAGAACAUAUGUGUAAGUAACUGUGCACAUCUUGACGGUACCUAAUCAGAAGGCCACGGCUAACUACGUG